UACGUAGGGGGCAAGCGUUGUCCGGAAUCAUUGGGCGUAAAGAGCGUGUAGGCGGUUCGGUAAGUCGGCUGUGAAAGUCCAGGGCUCAACCCUGGGAUGCCGGUCGAUACUGCCGGACUAGAGUUCGGAAGAGGCGAGUGGAAUUCCCGGUGUAGCGAUGAAAUGCGCAGAUAUCGGGAGGAACACCUAUGGCGAAGGCAGCUCGCUGGGACGUUACUGACGCUGAGACGCGAAAGCGUGGGGAGCAAACAGG
rnacentral:rRNA from 1 species